GGGUGGCCUGGGACGGCAUGGGUUUCGGCGCCGACGCCGCCGUGGUCCGCGACGAGCUGGACCGGGUGGGAUCGCGGCCCGUCCGCCCC
rnacentral:tRNA from 1 species